AGCGAACGCUGGCGGCAGGCCUAACACAUGCAAGUCGAGCGCCCCGCAAGGGGAGCGGCAGACGGGAGAGUAACACGUGGGAACGUACCCUUUGGUUCGGAACAACCCAGGGAAACUUGGGCUGAUACCGGAUAAGCCCUCACGGGGAAAGAUUUAUCGCCGAAGGAUCGGCCCGCGUCUGAUUAGCUAGUUGGUGAGGUAACGGCUCACCAAGGCGACGAUCAGUAGCUGGUCUGAGAGGAUGAUCAGCCUCACUGGGACUGAGACACGGCCCAGACUCCUACGGGAGGCAGCAGUGGGGAAUAUUGGACAAUGGGCGCAAGCUUGAUCCAGCCAUGCCGCGUGGGUGAUGAAGGCCCUAGGGUUGUAAAGCCCUUUCGGCGGGGAAGAUAAUGACGGUACCCGCAGAAGAUGCCCCGGCUAACUUCGUGCCAGCCGCCGCAGUAA
rnacentral:rRNA from 1 species